UGGGGAAUCUUGCCCAAUGGGCGAAAGCCUGAGGCAGCGACGCCGCGUGAGGGAGGAAGGCCUUCGGGUUGUAAACCUCUUUCAGGAGGGACGAAGCUACUCGGGUGAAUAGCCCAGAGGGUGACGGUACCUCCAGAAGAAGCCCCGGCUAACUACGUGCCAGCAGCCGCGGUAAUACGUAGGGGGCAAGCGUUGUCCGGAUUUACUGGGCGUAAAGCGCGUGUAGGCGGCCACGCAGGUCCGUUGUGAAACUAGAGGCUCAACCUCUAGACGUCGACGGAAACCGUGUGGCUAGAGUCCGGAAGAGGAGAGUGGAAUUCCUGGUGUAGCGGUGAAAUGCGCAGAUAUCAGGAAGAACACCAAUGGCGAAGGGCAGCUCUCUGGGACGGUACUGACGCUGAGACGCGAAAGCGUGGGGAGCGAACAGGAUUAGAUACCCUGGUAGUCCACGCCGUAAACGAUGGGUGCUAGGUGUGGGAGGUGUCGACUCCUUCCGCGCCGUAGCUAACG
rnacentral:rRNA from 1 species